GCUGGUUGAAAAUCAACUGCAGCUUCGCCCAUGGCCGCAGGUGAGAUUCAGUGCCCAGAGCCACCAGGGGCCUUAGCUCACUGCUCACUUGCCCACCGCCUUGGCGUGGGAGGUUGAAACCCAGGCCCUGAUAGGU